rnacentral:rRNA from 1 species
CACGUAGGCACCAAGCGUUGUCCGGAUUUAUUGGGCGUAAAGGGUGCGUAGGCGGUCCGUUAAGUCUGAUGUGAAAGCCCUGGGCUCAACUCAGGAACGGCAUUGGAGACUGGCGGGCUAGAGUACCGGAGAGGGAAGCGGAAUUCCUAAUGUAGCGGUGAAAUGCGUAGAUAUUAGGAGGAACACCGGUGGCGAAGGCGGCUUCCUGGCCGAGUACUGACGCUGAGGCACGAAAGCGUGGGGAGCGAACGGG